AAGCAGGCUCCAGGCUCUGAGCUGUCAGCACAGAGCCCGAUGCGGGGCUCAAACCCAUGAACUGCAAGAUCAUGACCUGAGCCGAAGUCGGAAGCUUAGCCGGCUCAGCCACCGAAGCUCCCCCAGGUUUUAGAAUCAAGAUCAUUCUAAUCAUUAGAAUGAACAGGGGAGGUUUUCUACCUUGGAAUCAUCUCUCUCUCAAAGGUUUGAUGGAACUUGGCUGCAAACCCAUUUUGGGUCCAUCUCUGUUUGGCAUGUGGUCCCAGCUCCGCCAAACAGAUGUUCCUGCCCAGGAAUCCGAGUCUGGAGAAGUUGACCCAGAGAUGUGGAGAGAGCCAGGAAAGAGUGUGGAUUGCUUGAGUAUUAAUCCCCAAGAGACUAAAGGGUGGGGCCGUGACUGAGACCCUGUCUCCCCAGUACCAGGUGUGUACUGACCACUGCCCCCAAGGUCAAGAAAGGAGGUUACAAGGACCCAAAGGCCCUGAGG